AGAGACAGCAGUCGCCACGGGAAUACGAAGGGUGCAAGCGUUAAUCGGAAUUACUGGGCGUAAAGCGCGCGUAGGUGGUUUGGUAAGAUGGAUGUGAAAUCCCCGGGCUCAACCUGGGAACUGCAUCCAUAACUGCCUGACUAGAGUACGGUAGAGGGUGGUGGAAUUUCCUGUGUAGCGGUGAAAUGCGUAGAUAUAGGAAGGAACACCAGUGGCGAAGGCGACCACCUGGACUGAUACUGACACUGAGGUGCGAAAGCGUGGGGAGCAAACAGGAUUAGAUACCCCCGUAGUCCCUGUCUCUUAUAC
rnacentral:rRNA from 1 species